rnacentral:piRNA from 1 species
UGAAUUGUAGCAGUGAAUUGGAUU